rnacentral:tRNA from 1 species
UGCGGGGUGGAGCAGUCUGGUAGCUCGCCGGGCUCAUAACCCGGAGGUCAUUGGUUCAAAUCCAAUCCCCGCGACCA